GGGGGAGAAGCCAAUGUUAUGGCGUUCGGCUGUUAACCGAGAGUAAGCAGCUAAUAAACUGCCUUCCCUA
rnacentral:tRNA from 1 species